UUUCCGUAGGUGAACCUGCGGAAGGAUCAUUACCAAGAGAAAUCUUUCAACACUGAAAGAUCUUUUCCUUUGUGCUGGCUUUGACCGUAUGUAAUUUUGGGACUUUAAAAUGGUUCGCAAGGGCCGGUCCCAAAAACAAUAUAUCAUCCUUAUGAAAUUUUUUCUGAACAAUUAAACAAAAUGAUUUUAAUAAUCUGUUUAAAACAACUUUCAACAACGGAUCUCUUGGUUCUCGCGUCGAUGAAGAACGCAGC
rnacentral:misc_RNA from 1 species